AGGACGAACGCUGGCGGCGUGCUUAACACAUGCAAGUCGAACGGAAAGGCCCUUCGGGGUACUCGAGUGGCGAACGGGUGAGUAACACGUGGGUGAUCUGCCCUGCACUUUGGGAUAAGCCUGGGAAACUGGGUCUAAUACCGAAUAGGACCACGGGAUGCAUGUCCUGUGGUGGAAAGCUUUUGCGGUGUGGGAUGGGCCCGCGGCCUAUCAGCUUGUUGGUGGGGUGAUGGCCUACCAAGGCGACGACGGGUAGCCGGCCUGAGAGGGUGUCCGGCCACACUGGGACUGAGAUACGGCCCAGACUCCUACGGGAGGCAGCAGUGGGGAAUAUUGCACAAUGGGGGAAACCCUGAUCCAGCGACGCCGCGUGUGUGAAGAAGGCCUGCGGUUGUAAAGCACUUUUAGUGGGGACAAAAGCUACGGAUUAAUACUCUGUGGUCUUGAUUUAACCCAAAGAAAAGCACCGGCUAACUCUGUGCCAGCAGCCGAC
rnacentral:rRNA from 1 species